AUCACCACAUUCAUCAUCACACAUCAGUCCACAGUUCACCAAACCAACCACAUCCUCAGGAGCUUCCUCUCCUGAUACAGGAUUUCCAUAUUCCACUGUGAUCAGUGUUGUGUGUGUGAUUCUGGUGCUGCUUCUGAUGGGAACCUCAUUUCUCACAGUGACUCUCAGAAAGAGAAGCAGAAAGGAGCAGGCAUCGUCCAAAGGCCAGUCCGUCCAAGACUCCUCACACAGCCAUGGGGUGAGUCAUGACUGUAUCACACAUCUAUGGGAUGAGUCAUAACUAUCACACAGCCAUGGGGUGAGUCAUGACUGUGGGUCAUUAGCAGGCCUACACCUGUAAUAGAAUUACAAUGCCUUUUCUAGCACAGUCACAAGGAGGCCUGAUGUGUGUGAGCAUGGUUACAUACAGGCUACAAGAAAUCUUA